GAUGAACGCUGGCGGCGUGCUUAACACAUGCAAGUCGAACGAUGAAAGCGGGAGCUUGCUCCUGCUGGAUUAGUGGCGAACGGGUGAGUAACACGUGAGCAAUCUGCCCCGAACUCUGGGAUAAGCGUUGGAAACGACGUCUAAUACCGGAUACGACGCGCGAAGGCAUCUUCUGCGCGUGGAAAGAACUUCGGUUCGGGAUGAGCUCGCGGCCUAUCAGCUAGUUGGUGAGGUAACGGCCCACCAAGGCGACGACGGGUAGCCGGCCUGCGAGGGUGACCGGCCACACUGGGACUGAGACACGGCCCAGACUCCGACGGGAGGCAGCAGUGGGGAAUAUUGCACAAUGGGCGCAAGCCUGAUGCAGCAACGCCGCGUGAGGGACGACGGCCUUCGGGUUGUAAACCUCUUUUAGUAGGGAAGAAGCGAAAGUGACGGUACCUGCAGAAAAAGCACCGGCUAACUACGUGCCAGCCGCCGCAGUAAAAC
rnacentral:rRNA from 1 species